UACGUAGGUGGCGAGCGUUGUCCGGAUUUACUGGGCGUAAAGAGCGCGCAGGCGGUCGUCCACGUCGCGUGUGCAAGCCCCCGGCUCAACUGGGGAGGGUCACGCGAUACUGUUCGACUCGAAGGCAGGAGAGGGUAGGGGAAUUCCCGGUGUAGUGGUGAAAUGCGUAGAGAUCGGGAGGAACAACAGUGGCGAAGGCGACUACCUGGCCUGUUCUUGACGCUGAGGCGCGAAAGCUAGGGGAGCAAACGGG
rnacentral:rRNA from 1 species